rnacentral:tRNA from 1 species
GGAUGGGUGACCGAGUGGUUGAAGGUACCGGUCUUGAAAACCGGCGUGCGUGAGAGCGUACCGUGGGUUCGAAUCCCACCCCAUCCGCCA